rnacentral:rRNA from 1 species
CAGCAGCCGCGGUAAUACGUAGGGUGCAAGCGUUAAUCGGAAUUACUGGGCGUAAAGCGUGCGCAGGCGGUUCUAUAAGACAGAUGUGAAAUCCCCGGGCUCGACCUGGGAACUGCAUUUGUGACUGUAGAGCUGGAGUGCGGCAGAGGGGGAUGGAAUUCCGCGUGUAGCAGUGAAAUGCGUAGAUAUGCGGAGGAACACCGAUGGCGAAGGCAAUCCCCUGGGCCUGCACUGACGCUCAUGCACGAAAGCGUGGGGAGCAAACAGGAUUAGAUACCCGCGUAGUCCCUGUCUCUUAUAC